CCAGACUCCUACGGGAGGCAGCAGUGGGGGAUAUUGGACAAUGGGGGAAACCCUGAUCCAGCGAUGCCGCGUGAGGGAAGAAGGUUUUCGGAUUGUAAACCUCUGUGGACAGGGACGAUAAUGACGGUACCUGUCAAGAAAGCCACGGCUAACUACGUGCCAGCAGCCGCGGUAAUACGUAGGGAGCGAGCGUUGUCCGGAAUUACUGGGUGUAAAGGGAGCGUAGGCGGGCGAGAAAGUUGAAUGUUAAAUCUACCGGCUUAACUGGUAGCUGCGUUCAAAACUUCUUGUCUUGAGUGAAGUAGAGGCAGGCGGAAUUCCUAGUGUAGCGGUGAAAUGCGUAGAUAUUAGGAGGAACACCAGUGGCGAAGGCGGCCUGCUGGGCUUUAACUGACGCUGAGGCUCGAAAGCGUGGGGAGCAAACAGGAUUAGAUACCCUCGUAC
rnacentral:rRNA from 1 species